CAGCCAUCAGAUUAGCCGAAUCAGAAUUAGGUUAGGGAGAGCACGCAGCGAGCGCGGCGCAGGUAUCUGACGCUUUUCUGGAUCUAGGGUUUUCCUGUUCAUAUUCAUCUCAUCAUCCGCCACCGAUCAAACUCUUAAUUGAACUUCCAAAAUCUUGGAUCUUGAUCGGGAACAUCCACCCUAAACCCUAAAAUUUCAUGAUCGGGAAUUUUCUACUACCAUACUUGAAAAUCUUGGUUCCAAAUCCCUAGUUUUUGUUUAUAUAUAUAUAUAUAUUUUUUUUUUUUCGCAUCUCGUCGUCUUCUGAUGUUUUUACCUCUCCUACUGAACGAUUGAUUUCUCCGAUACAUAAACGAGGAAACAAAAACCGGUGGAGUUUGAUUAAAAUAUUGAUUGAUUCCCAAAAUUGUUCCAAUUUAGCGAAGGAGUUUGAAAUUGUUUCGUUUUUGGUUGGGAGAAUAUAUAUAAAUGUAUCGAAAAUUAGUGUUGGUGUACGACGGGGAGAGGUUGCUGGGGGAGGCGGAGCUGCUACGGCAGAACGGCGGCGUUUGGGGUGAAGAGAUUAGGGUAAUUCGUAUUUCUCACUAUUCGCCGCCGAGUGAGAGGUGCCCCCCACUCGCCGUGCUUCAUACCAUUAACUCUGCCGCCGGAAUAUGCUUCAAACUGGAAUCGGCGGCGAAGAACGCGGUGGACUCGCCGCUAUCUGUAUUGCACGCCAACUGUCUCAAGGAUAACAAGACGGCUGUAGCCUUUAUAGAUGGCCAGGAUGUUCAUUUAGUUGCAAUGCAUUCAAGAAAGUACGAAGGGCAAACCCCUUGCUUCUGGGGAUUUAAUGUGUCGUCAGCCCUCUACAAUUCUUGCCUUGUCAUGCUGAAUCUAAGGUGUCUUGGCAUUGUUUUUGAUCUUGAUGAAACGCUUAUAGUUGCCAAUACAAUGCGUUCGUUUGAGGAUAGGAUAGAUUCGCUGCAGCGGAAAAUAAGUUUUGAGACUGACCAACAGCGUAUAAAUGGCAUGAUGGCGGAGGUUAGGCGUUAUCAGGAUGAUAGAAGUAUUUUGAAGCAAUAUGCUGAAGCCGAUCAGAUAAAUGACAAUGGAAAAAUCAUUAAGGCAGAGUCUGAGGUGGUUCUGGCUUUGUCUGACAAUCACCCAACUAUUGUGCGCCCACUUAUACGGCUACCGGAUAGAAACAUUAUUCUUACUCGCAUCAAUCCACAGGUACGUGAUACAAGUGUUCUCGUGAGAUUAAGACCUGCGUGGGAAGAUCUCAGAAGCUACUUGACAGCUAAAGGUCGAAAGCGAUUUGAGGUUUUUGUUUGCACAAUGGCGGAAAGAGAUUAUGCGUUAGAAAUGUGGAGACUUCUUGAUCCAGACUCCAAUUUGAUUAGCCCAAGGGAGCUUUUUGAUCGCAUAGUGUGUGUUAAGUCAGGUUUGAGGAAAUCACUAUUUAACGUUUUCCAGGAUGGAAACUGUCAUCCAAAGAUGGCUUUGGUGAUCGAUGACCGUUUAAAAGUAUGGGAAGAACAGGAUCAACCUCGACUGCAUGUUGUUCCUGCUUUUAUGCCAUAUUUUGCACCUCAAGCUGAAGCCAACAAUACCAUUCCUGUGCUCUGUGUUGCAAGAAAUGUCGCCUGCAAUGUUAGAGGUGGUUUUUUCAAGGAGUUUGAUGAUGGUCUAAUGCAACGAAUAGCUGAAGUGGCAUAUGAAGAUGAUAUUGCUGACUUGCCUUUUCCACCUGAUGUGAGCAACUACUUGGUUUCAGAGGAGGAUCCUUCAAUAUCAAAUGGCAACAAAGAUUUGCUUGGUUUUGAUGGGAUGGCAGGUCCAGAGGUUGAAAGAAGAUUAAAGGAGGCAAUGGCCGCAUCUUCGACUGCUGCUUCUACACCCAUAAUGAAUCUAGAUCCAAGAAUUGUAUCAACCCUUCAGUACUCUGCACCAUCAACUUCAUUUACAGUUCAUCCUCCAACAGCAGUACAAGGGCCUUCGAUGCCAUUCCCCAGUCAGCACGUACCACAAGUCACUGCUACACUCCUUAAAGCCCCAACGACCCACCUUGGACAAGCAGAAACAUCUUUGCAGAGUUCUCCUGCAAGGGAAGAAGGAGAGGUACCCGAAUCUGAGUUAGACCCUGAUACAAGGAGAAGAUUACUCAUUUUGCAACAUGGUCAAGACAUUAGAGAACACCCUCCUACUGACCCCCCCAAGUUUCCAACUGAGCCAGCUGCACAAGUGCCUGUACCUAGAGUUCAUCCACGUGGAUGGUUUCCUGGUGAAGAGGACGUGAACCUCAGACAGUUGAAUCGAGUCGCACCUUCUGUGGAGUUUAGUUCUGGGUCGCUUCCUAUUGAAAGUCACCGGCCCCACCACACGCCCUAUCUCAACAAAGUUGAAACACCCAUUCCUCCUGGCAGAGCUCUUGAAAGCCAGAGGUUGCCGAAAAAGGAACUCCCGAGAGAAGACGUGUUAAGGAUAAAUCCACCACGGCCUCAUUUCCCUUCUUUUUCUCGUGAAGAUGAUAGCCCUGCACCUGUUCUCAAGGAUCCAGAUUUUGAAUCUGGACAAAAUGAUUCCUACAAUGAAACUUUUGCUGGAGCUUUACAGGAUAUUGCUCUUAAGUGUGGGGCGAGGGUGGAGUUUAAGCAAGCUCUAGUAUCAAGUGUAGAACUGCAGUUCUCUGCUGAGGUUUUCUUUGCUGGGGAGAAGGUGGGCGAAGGUAUGGGUAGGACCAGAAGGGAAGCACAACACAACGCAGCUGAAAGUUCUCUCAUGUAUUUGGCUGAUAAAUACUUGUCUCAGCUUAAACAGGAUUCGAUCAGCAUUCCUGGAGAUGGAAGUAGGCUCAGUAAUCAGGCAUUGUCUGAGGAGUCUGUUCCCUCGACGGCAUCAACACCAACAAGAAUUCGAGACCCUAGAUUUGAUGCGUCUAAGAAACCAACUAAUUCCAUUGCUGCUCUUAAAGAGCUUUGCAAAAUGGAGGGCCGCAAUGUGGCUUUCCAUACUCGACCUCAGAUUUCAGCUCGAGGCUUGAAAGAAGAAAUUUAUGCAGAGGUUGAGAUCAAUGGCCAAAUCUUGGGCAAGGCAAUUGGGUCAACGUGGGAUGAUGCUAAAUCUCAGGCUGCAGAAAAAGCUCUUUUAUCCUUGAAAAAUUUUCCGGUUCAGUUUCCUUACAAGCGUCAGGGCUCUCCGAGAUCCAUGCAGGACAUGUCUAAUAAAAGAUUAAAACCCGAUUUUUCUAGAGUUCUCCAGCGAAUGCCAUCAGGUGGCCGGCACCCGAAGAACAACGAAUCCCCUGUUCCUUAACAAAAUCCCUCCUCUACAUUAUUCCAUCUUUGUAUACUUCACAACCCAAUGCCAAAGAUAUGUAACAAUUGCAGAUAUAUCCCUCCUGAAGCCAAAUGUUUAGAUAUUGCCCGCUGUUGUUCACUUUUGUCUCUCUAGAUUGUUCAACUAACUGACUGACUGAACUGACAUCACUUGCUGGAAGCGCGACAGUUUAGAUACCCAAACUUUUGUAACAAGAGGACGGAAUGACAGUCUUUGGCAUAUUCGGGGGUUUCUUACACCUGCAGAUUAUCUUGACAUGUAAAUGGAGCGUGGUUAUACUGAGAAAAAAGGGGCCAUCAACCGGGAGAUCCUUGGAAAGCAAGUUUUGCAAAAGGUAUUUGCGGAUCGAACAUACUCAUUGAUGUGCCGGGGCAGCUGCCGCGACCUCCGGAGCCGAUGUAGGUGUGUUUUUGGGGGCACUGUUUUGAGAAAAUCUUCUGUUGCUGCAUAUAUGAUAGGGAAUUAAUUGUGAAAAUAAAUUAGGUGGUGGUUUUUAUAAUUUGAUUUGAUUUGAUUUUUUUUUUUUUUUUUUUAUUAUUAUGAUUUUAUAUGCAGAUGGUAUAUAAUUUUCAUAUUAUAUGGAUAAGUAAAUACGCAGUGUGUUUAGUAUUUCCAAUUUUGUGUAUAGAUAAAUAAAAUGGUUAAAUGACAUGAUAGAUUUCUAACUGUGUACAAAAUAUAAUCUCAUAUAUUGUUACAUUAGUGUUGAAUGUUUAUAUAUUAGAUGAUAACAUUUUGGACCAGCGUAUAUUAUUCUACAUCAAAUUUUGAUUGUAAUUUAACUUAAUAUAUAUGUAUUUAUAUUGUUGAAUGAUCGCAUACAUAUAUUCGUUAGUGUUAGAAAUGGCUUUUAGUUCCAAACUUCCAAUAAUAUAACAGUAAACUGGUAGUUAACAGCUUCGUGAUCUUCAUUUAGAAGAAAAGUGGAGGGGACGCAUUUUAAUUUUUAAUAUGAAAUAAUUAGUGCGGUUUUUGGAGGGUAAAAUGAACACGUCACCGCGCA